AUUGAACGCUAGCGGGGUGCCUUACACAUGCAAGUCGAACGGAGUGGCGAACGGGGGAGUAAUGUAGGGGAAGGUGCCCAGUAGCGGGGGAUCACUACGCGAAAGCGAAGCUAAUACCGCAGAAUCUUGGAGCGGCCGAUGUCUGAUUAGCUAGUUGGUGGGGUAACGGCUCACCAAGGCGGCGAUCCGUAGCUGGUUUGCGAGGACGACCAGCCACACUGGGACUGAGACACGGCCCAGACUCCUACGGGAGGCAGCAGUGGGGAAUUUUGGACAAUGGGCGAAACCCUGAUCCAGCCAUCCCGCGUGUGCGAUGAAGGCCUUCGGGUUGUAAAGCACUUUUGGCAGGAAAGCGGUACCUGCAGAAUAAGCACCGGCUAACUACGUGCCAGCAGCCGCGGUAAUUC
rnacentral:rRNA from 1 species